rnacentral:lncRNA from 1 species
ACUUAAAGGCAUCAUACCCAAAGAAUAAUCCAAUUCAUGUGAGGAUAGGAAUGCAACUAAAUCCCUAAGUAGAAUAGAUCUCCUGUUAGUUCUAAAUUUAACGGUCAAGUUGACAAAAUUCCACAAAAAAAUUUUCAAAGAACUCAACCAUUGGACUCCAAGUAUUAUAUCACAACAGUUGAAAGCCAGAAGGUUUAGUUCCUUGCACAGCCUAAAUCACUUCUUUCUAUU